GGUGCUUACAGAAGCAUUAGGCUAGGCUGAAGGAAUGAAGAGGUUGGCAGCCCCCACUGGACUCACAGCACCACAUCUGCUGCCGUGGGUCGAGAAGUUACUGCUGCUGCUGCCAGCACAACUGCCUCUUAGCCCAUGAAGCUGGUGACCAGGCACUGGAACACAGGUCUGGCUGCUACCAAUAGUCUUGUUUGUCCAAACCUGUUUCCUGUCAACCAGCAGCAGCAAGGUGGCCUCCACUUCACCUCCACCUGCUAAAUCUCCCUUGAAUGCAUCUUAUUGGCCCAACCUAAUUUGCACCUAGCACCGUCAUUUGGAAGGCCUUUGAAAAAGGUGGGAUUGGAUGAGAGAGACUUUCAGAAUGGCCAUCCCACAACCACCUCUAAAUCCUGGAAGAUGUUCCUGGAAUACUGCCCAUGGGACCCCUGGAGCCACAUCCCUAAGGAUAGACUAGGGAAUCAAAUAAGCUGGAACACUGCCCAGGAUCCUCUGUCCAUCCCCUCUUCCUUGCAUGUGGACAGAGGGCUAUUGCAUCCCCAGCUACUGCAAACCAUUGGAUAGUUUAAGGGACUGGUCAUUUGGUUGAUUUUCUGUAAAUUAAUCUGGAGACAUCUUCUCUAGCAUAAACCUGAGGGAGGGAAAGCCAGUCCAUUCCUACCAGAACAGGAUAACGUGGAAGAAAGAGGAAAAGAGGGUGGGAGUCAAAAAUGUCUAGUUUGCCACCAACUGCCAAGCACCACUCUAAGGUUGUGAAGGCUGCACAUGGCAGUAGCUCCAGGACUUACUGCAUGAGAAGAGAGAGCAAAGAGGAUAUGGAGAGAGGACCUGAUGCUCCCAAAGCUCACACUCCUUGACCAUGUAGUGCCUAUGGAAGAAGAAAUCUAAGAAUGUUAUGACUGCGACUUAGAGGGGCAAUGGCUUAGCUCUGAUCCUGCCACAUGGGAUGAAAGUGAAAUCCUGCAGGCAGAACCAAAAAGAGCAGAAGGUGGGUGAAGUGUUAGUGGAAAUGGAUAGUAUUUGGCUAGAAGAUCCAAGGGAAGCCUGAAUCCCAUCUAACCAUCACUUCUCCCUCUGUGAGGCUCCGGCAAGAGCUGCUCAUACAAGGAGCAAGAGCAGAAAGGCACUCAAGUGUCACAUGAUAGCGGAACCAGAGCCUAAUCCCUUCCAGAGCAGGUCAAAGCUGGGGUGGAGCAGGUAGCUUAGGAGCUCCCUAAGCCUGAGUCCAAGUCUUGGGGGUCUUGUCUUCUUCUGGUGGGUUCCAUGGUAUGGGAGGCUGAAGCAAUCAGCAAUAUGCUCAGGCCAAUCCUCAGUGGGAGAGAGGCAUGGUGCGGCCCAUGAUUCUGGUGCAUUAAGUGUAAGUGAGAGUGGAGCCUGGCUGUGCCACCACCUCUGUAAUAAUGCUGCCACCUCUGUAACGAUGCUGCCACCUCUGUAACGAUGCUGCCACGUCUGUAACGAUGCUGCCACGUCUGUAACGAUGCUGCCACCUCUGUAACGAUGCUGCCACCUCUGUAACGAUGCUGCCACCUCUGUAACGAUGCUGUCACCUCUGUAACGAUGCUGCCACCUCUGUAAUGAUGCUGCCACCUCUGUAAUGAUGCUGCCCACCAAUAAACAAGACCCAGGUGGUUCCCUCAGU
rnacentral:lncRNA from 1 species